CCUACGGGUGGCAGCAGUGGGGAAUAUUGCACAAUGGGGGAAACCCUGAUGCAGCGACGCCGCGUGGGUGAAGGAGUACUUCGGUACGUAAAGCUCUAUCAGCAGGGAAGAAAAUGACGGUACCUGAGUAAGAAGCCCCGGCUAACUACGUGCCAGCAGCCGCGGUAAUACGUAGGGGGCAAGCGUUAUCCGGAUUUACUGGGUGUAAAGGGAGCGUAGACGGCAGUGCAAGUCCGGAGUGAAAGGCCGGGGCUCAACCCUGGGACUGCUCUGGAAACUGUACGGCUGGAGUGCGGGAGGGGCAAGUGGAAUUCCUGGUGUAGCGGUGAAAUGCGUAGAUAUUAGGAGGAACACCAGUGGCGAAGGCGGCUUGCUGGACCGUAACUGACGUUGAGGCUCGAAAGCGUGGGGAGCAAACAGGAUUAGAUACCCUUGUAGUC
rnacentral:rRNA from 1 species